rnacentral:rRNA from 1 species
UGGGGAAUAUUGCACAAUGGGCGCAAGCCUGAUGCAGCAACGCCGCGUGAACGAUGAAGGUCUUCGGAUCGUAAAGUUCUGUUGCAGGGGAAGAUAAUGACGGUACCCUGUGAGGAAGCCCCGGCUAACUACGUGCCAGCAGCCGCGGUAAUACGUAGGUGGCAAGCGUCGUCCGGAAUUAUUGGGCGUAAAGCGCGCGCAGGUGGUUUAGAAAGUCUGAUGUGAAAGCCCACGGCUCAACCGUGGAGGGUCAUUGGAAACUAAUAAACUUGAGUGGAGGAGAGAAAAUUGGCAUUCCUAGUGUAGCGGUGAAAUGCGUCGAGAUUAGGAGGAACACCGGUGGCGAAAGCGGCUUUUUGGCCUGCAACUGACACUGAGGCGCGAAAGCGGGGGGAGCAAACAGG